GAAAACAAAAGCCCUCAGCUUGACUCCUGGUUCUUCCAUUGACGAAUAAUGGGAAACCCUAAGCAUUUGCCCUGCUCCCAUCUUCUGCCUCCUGAACAUACUGAUGUCUGUGCCAUGUGGGCCGUGUGAUGUGCCUCCUGUCCCUAGGACCUAUUUUCACUCACCUGGGAUGGCAGGUGCAAGCGGAUGCUCGGUUUUGACACAGGGACACUGUAAAGGAAUUGAGAGAAAGACGGGCAGCAGAACUGAAAUCCCCAAGGGAAGGGUGAAGUCUGUCAGCCAUUUUUGAGUCCAGCUCUGCCCCAUGUGGCCGGGGCCAGGGGGCGGGGUGCUUCGGCUGGACCCCUGGCACUCUCAACUUCUGCAUCUUUGCCCAGAUAGAAAAAGAAGUCCCAUUCCUUCGAUGGUCGCCGACAAUAAACAAUGUGUGCAAAAGGUUAGCAUAGACCCUGGGAUGUGCUUGGACCUCAAGAAGGGCCUGCUCUAGCGACAAGUUAACCAGAGACGGCUUUUCUGUUUGCUCCCUCCUUGCCAAGGAAAAAUCACCCUGCCAUUUGGCAGGAGGAUCAGACUUCAACCCUCCCAACCUGGCGACUUUCCUGGGAUGGGUGUGAUCGGAGAAUGAGUUUGAAAUAGCUGUUCUCGUCCAAUUUCUGCCACUGAAGUCAGGUCUGAGUUGCCUGUUUAAGGGUGGCCAGACUGAGCCAACAAAAAUACAGAAAUCCCAGUUACAUUUGAAUUUCAGGAAAAUUCCCCAGGCUCUCUUGGCCUCAGCUUUCUCACCUUUGCGAGGUGAGGUCUGAAGAGGUGGCCCUGAGGACCUGCGCGAUUGCACCAUGCCGUAUACCUGAGAAGCUGUUCCUCCUGCUUCCAGUCCCAGCUCCUGUGGUCACCAUGGAAGAUAAGAGCACCUGAACAGGGACCCCUUGGUGCCUGUGAUAUGUCUUUUUUGCUUUCCUAGCUGUGAAGGCUCAGGCAGCCCCCACCCAUCCCCACCCUUCUGGGACAUUCCCCCUGGCCCUGUGCCAGCACGGCUGUCAGGAUCGGAUCGGCAGGCCCUCACCUGAGGCCCUCACAUGAAUUCCGGCACACUUUGCCUCUAUUGCCCAAGGACUGGCACUGGAUCAAAGAGCUCUGGUUGGAACAUUUGGCAGCAGGCAGUGGAUCGGCAACAUGGUCCCGGGCUGCGUUCAGCAGCUCGGCCUCCUAGCGUGUGGCAAGUGCAGCCCCUGCAGCUUCUGUCUGAGCCAGAGCCCGGCCUUCUCCGUCCCUUCUCUGGGGACGUUAGCACUCCCUUUCCUGCCCUCCUGUCUCUCUCACUCAUAUCCUUAGAUCCUGGGGCUGUAGACCCUCGGUGGGUCUCAGGACACCGUGGGAACGCAGCCUGGCCUAUGUGCAGUCCAGCUUCCCGGCCUCCUGGCCGGAAAUAAAACAUCAGAAAUAGCAGCUACCAUUUUAUGCAGCACUUGGAUGUCCUCUUGGAGUCGUGGGCCUCACAUGCACGAUCUCGUCUCAUCCUUACCACAACCCUCUAAGGUGGAUUCUUGUAUCAUUUCCACUUUAUAGUCAUUUUCAUAACUGUCCCUUGGGCAGUCACUUAAGCUCUUUAUAGUACACGACUUUCCAUUAGCUCAUGCACACCUCACAACAUCACGAUGAAGUAGGUACUCAUCUUAGUCCCAUUUUACAGCUGAGAAAACUGAGGCACAAAGAGGUGAGUAAGUAGUGGACCUGGGAAUCAGGCACAAAUAUGGCUCCAGAGUUGAUACCCUUAACCAGUUUGCAUGCUAUCUCCCAAAAUGAGCAAAAACAGGUUCAGAGAAGUUAAUCAACUUGCUCAAGGCCACAAAGCUAAGAUGUGUUAGAAUAAAUCGUGGGACCCAGGUCUGCCUAUUCAGAGCCCCAUUCUUUAUGCCAUCGUGUU